rnacentral:lncRNA from 1 species
GAGGAGGCAGGUAGUCAAAAUCACAAAGGUUAAUAAUUUGCCUCCCUAAUUCAUUUGGAAAUACCACUAUCUUUAAAAUUUCUGUAAAUUUUUCACAUAAUUCAAAAUUAUCCUCUGUGGUGAAUUCCUUCAAGCAAGAAUACCUUAAUGUAAAUGAUCACUCUGGUAUUAUGGCAGUCACCUUAUCACCCCCGCAUACUACAUCUGAAACCAGGAAGACGUAGUUAACUCUUCUCACAGUCAAGAUUGGACAGUGAUCCUUCCUCAGAAUUUUGACAGAGCCCUGCUGCAGCCUUCCCAAUACAGACUUCGACUGAACUUAUUUUGCACCUGGGGUGAUUGCCCCAGCCCUGCCACCAGCAGGCUCAAUCUAUUGCUUCUCAACAGUACGAAGUUGGAUGAUGUUUUUCGACCUAACAUGAGAACAUGG